rnacentral:sRNA from 1 species
CCUGACAUGUUAUAAAUGUUCUCAUCAUGGAAGUAUAAACUAUGGUAUCCUGAAUUUCCUGUCUACGAGACGAACAAACUCAAGAAACCACAAGAAAUUAGUAAGCCUGCAAAACGAGGCACUGAAUGCCAAUGGGAGGUGACAAGGUUCACUGAACAUUCCACAGAAAUGAGAAUGAUGACUAAAUGAGGAUGCAAAUUCAUCUGUUUAGCUUAAGAUUUAAGUCCAGCUGAAACCAAAGAUGUGUUCAUGGUCCAAUGGACCUUGAAAUCCGAACCAUAUACAGUUAGUUUCAGGUGCAUUGCAAGUUUGCAACAUGCCAUUCAGCAAACUAAACAAACACUUUUAGCCUUUGACCUAUAUGGAGCACUGUGAUGCAUGCUAUUCAGACUAUCUAUCUUCUGAAGGAAUGAGCCAAUACAUCUUUUCUGCAAGUUGCAGUAAGUGGAGACAAGUACCUUGUGAAAUAACAUGCUCCUUGCAGUAAUGUUCCUCAGCAGAGGCUCUGGUUCUGGUAACCAUCAGUUGUGAAAGACUGAAAGUGAAGAGAAUAGAAUAAAGACACUUAGAAAGAAGGUUUUCUUUAUGGGAUUGACUAGCACAUACACUGAGAAUAAUCUUUACAUGUUUCCAGGAUUGAACAUAUAACCUCACAAUUCAUUUUUAUGUAUAAUGUAAUGUAAUAAAUAGUUGGACCAUCUUGGUCCCACUAUUCCCUUAAAAAGACCUUAAGAUUU